GCUCCCCGCAACCUCGUGCCUGCGCAUGCGCAGGGUUGUCAGGCGGCGAGCACUCGACCCGGGGGCACAGGGUAGGGCGCGAGCCCCGCUUCAGCUUUCCCGCCCUCCCGGCCCGAACCAAUGGGGCUGUCCCAGCCUCUUGAGUGAUGGCGGUACGAACCAGUAGGAGCAGGGACUCGCCGCUGCCCCCUGGCGUGCGUCGCGUGUCACGCUGGCUGCUGAGGGAAGCCUUGCUGCCUGGAUCCUGCUUGCGUGCUGCCCUCUGCUGCCUCGUCGAGGCAGGGUGAGGAGAGAGGAGUUUGGAAACAGGCCUUUCUGAAGCGCGUUCACCAGACCAUGCCUCCAUGUGCACCACCAAACCUGUCGAUGAGGUGUAUGCCUGUGACACCAAGCCCUGCACAGUGGGGCUGUGGGUUAGAUGCAGGGGCGGCCAAAGCAGUGGUUGUGCUUUGUGCUAGGCGGUGUAGCUCAUAGCAGAGCUGCCUUGAUCUAUUACUGCAGUGUGGCAGGCUGGGCUGCACUGCCAGAACUCCUGUGUGGAGCUCCCUCAUGCAUCUGCAGUCAACCCUGUGUGCUGAGGAGGACCUCGUGGUUGAGAGUUGGGACCUCUGCAUCGCAGGGUGGCUGUGAGACCUUUUGCUGGGCAGGAACAUGCUUGAGUUUGCUCCUCAUUGCAUUAAGAAAGUCCUGUUAAUGCCA